CACAAAUUACUGCAACAGUUACAAUCCAAACACUGUGUUUUCAUCAUCUUUUUAGAAGCAAAGCCCACCUUCUUGGCUCCAAGCAGCACAGGUAGCACAGUUCGACUGGGGCAGCUCCUAGGAGAACUUGCUAAAUAGUGAGAAAGAGACUGCAGUGGAACCUCUCUGAAGACAUUGCUAUCAAAUCUAUGUGGACCUUGUGGCCUCCUCCUCCUUACUGACAUAUAUAUUGUUUCCUUACAGAACCAGCACUAUCACCAGAAGGUCUGUUGGAAGCUUCUGUUACCUCUGAAAUGGCAGUCUCCUUUUGACCCACCCCUCGAAGCAGUUUCCUCUGCACACCAUGUACAGUACUUCAAAAGUGGAGCUGACCCAGUUCAUUCUGACCAUGCAGGACUGCUGGGGAAAGACAAGAAGACUCUUCAGACAGAGGUGUGUGGUUCAUUUACACAAAGAUAUUCAGGGAAAAUCCU
ensembl:lncRNA